GGCCAUAGGAGGGAAACAUUAGACUAUCAUUUAGAUAAUGUAUAUAAAGUGUUCUUAUCUUAAGUAAUAUUUCCUCGAUUUGUGCGCUGAUAUUGUACUGGUCUCUUCUGUUUCUAAAAUGAUUAAAACACUUUUAUUGGUUUUUGCUGCAAUUGCCACAGUAAAUGCAAUUGUAUGUACUAAAGAAACUUGCUCUCUUGUAAGGUGUAUGCAAGCAAAUUGCACAGGGGAUCAGGUCUUAGUACCAAAAGGAGGAUUUUGUGGAUGUUGUGAUGCCUGUAUUACAUUUUUAAAAGAAGGCGAGGAAUGCCCUAUUCCACUGAGAGGGGGUACUCCACCAACAAGGCGGUGCGGCGAAGGCUUAGAGUGUGUAUUUUCAUAAAGUUUCAUGCGCAAGCAAAUUUUGAUAUUCGAGAUUUGCUCUUCAAUUCAAUUCAUCUAGUGUAAUUUGAUGAAACAUUAAUAAAAAUUUAUGAAGUA